rnacentral:lncRNA from 1 species
AAAUAAUUUUUGAGUCCGGUUACUAUGAUAUUAAUUGCACGAAGCACUUGGUGCUAUUAAAUUUUUCGUCGUUAGAUCUAUUCUUUUGAUUAUUUUUACCCGUUGGAUCAUACUAUUCAACCAACCAUCCACUAAACCCUAGGGGGCCCACAUCAUCCUAACCGCACAUCUCUUAAUCCAAUAGCCAAAAACUUGAUAGCACCAAUGACUUCGUGCUAUUAAUAGCAUAGUAGCCCAGUUCAUAAUUUUUUAUUAGAUUAAAUUACAUAAAAUUUCUCUGUCAAAACUCAAUCUUUUACUUUACUUUUCUGUCAUUUAAAAAUCUACACUUUGGCCUCUUGUAAAAUAAAAAAUGUUCACUUUACCUCUGCCGUUAGUAAUCCGUUAAGGUUCCGUUUAUAAAAUAUCAUUAUAUUUUUUUUAUAUCAAAAAUAUUCUUAGCCUCCUCUUCUGUUGCCAAAAAUGGUAAGGAGCAAAAUAGUUAUUUUGUCAUCACAGUUUACACCGUACCCUCCUGUGACUAUUUUUUAUUUUACAAGGAGGCCAAGUGUAGAUUUUUAAAUGACAGGAAAAGUGAAAAAUCGGAUUUUGAUAGGGAGAUUUUAUUAUAAUAAAAAAAUUCAUACCAUACUUGAAAUUUAGAUUAAUUUUAUACAGGUCUCUAUAAAUAUAAUAAAUUAUAAAUAUAUUUAUAUAAAGUUUAAUUUUUUAUAUAUUAUUUUUAUAAAAAAAUUCUAAUAUUUUCAAAUAUAUCUCUGAUUUGUUGCCGUUAAAGUACUGUUUAUUUUAUAAGUAAAAUAACUUUUUUGUCAUUAUAAAUAUAUAUCCUCCAACUGUUAAUUGAAGAGGGAUAAAAAGGUCAAUUCACUUCAUUAACUAAUUAGGAUUAAGUAUUUAACAUAUGGUUAACUAAAAUUUUCUAAUGGAUUCUAGCGGUAUGGACAUAUUUGAAAAGGUUAAUUGCAUGUAGGUCCCCGCAAAUAUAGUACAUUACAAAUAUAUUCCUGUAAAGUUCAACUUUCACAAGUUAUCCCUACAAAAAUCCUAAUAGUGUCAGAUAUAUCCCUGCCGUUAGAAUCCGUUAGAAAAGUUUAGUUAACCAUAGGUUAAAUACUUCAUCCUAGUUAAUUUUUAAUAUUUUUACCCUUCUUAUAUUACACUAUUAUUAUUUUUGGAGGGACAUUUCUGAUGGCAAAAUUGAAAAUAUAAAUAGUUUUCUAACGGUAAUAAACCGGAGGGACAUAUCUAAAAAUAUUAAGACUUUGAACUUUAUGGUAUCGUUUAGUUCGGGGAUAAGCAAAAAGUGGCUAUUCCAGGAAUAGGCAUAAAUUAAGGUAAAAGUAGGGACUAGAUCAAUUUUGCGUUUAGAUGAAAAUUGGGUUAUUCCUGGGAAUAAAAAAAAUAACGUUUGGUUAGGUAAGAUGGAAUAAGAAGGAUAGUGAGUUUUAUAAAUAAAAAGUAAUGAUAUUAUCGUCUUAUUAUAUUUGAAUUUGAAUUUUUAAAAUUUUAAAUUUAAAAUUUAAAAUUAUAAAUUUUAAUUUUGAGAUUAUAAAUUAUAAAUUUUAAAAAUUUAAAUUUUUAAUUUUUAAAUUUUUAAAAUUUUAAAAUAAGAAUAAGGGUGGGAACAAUUAAUAAAAAUAACUUAUUAUAAUAAAUUUAAUAAUUUUUUUUAAAAUUCUACUUAAACUUAAAUUUAAUAAAAAGAAUUUAUUAUAAUAUUUAAAUAUAAUUUAUUAUAAAUUUUAUUAUAAUAUUUAAAUAUAAAUAAUAAUAUGUAUUAAUAUAGUACAAUUAAUAAUUUUAUAAUAAAAAUAAUAUAUUAUAAUAUAUAAAUAUUAUAUUUAUAUAAUUUAGUUUUAAUUCAAUUUAUAAUUUUAAUUAAAUUUGAAAUUAAGCAUUGGAAUAGUACUAUUUCACGAAAAUGGUGGAAUAGAAAAUUUUUUGCUAUUCUGGGAUAACCGGGAAUAGCAAUGUUUAACCGGGAUAAAAUAUUCCGGCCAAAUUUUAUCCCGUUUGGCAGAAUAGCGGGGAUAACUUUCGUUAUCUCUGGCUUAUCUCCGAACCAAACGCGGCUUAUAGGAAUAUAUUUGUAAUUUACUAUAUUUGCAGGUAUCUGUAUGCAAUUAACCUUAUUUGAAAAUAUCAAGAUUUUACAAGAACAAUAUACAAAAGAUGAACUUUAUAGGAAUAUAUUUACUAAAAAUAAUAUUAUCCCUUGAAUAAAUAGAGUUUACAUUAUACACCUUAACUUAGUAUA